rnacentral:rRNA from 1 species
CCUACGGGAGGCUGCAGUAGGGAAUCUUCCACAAUGGGCGAAAGCCUGAUGGAGCAACGCCGCGUGGGUGAAGAAGGUCUUCGGAUCGUAAAACCCUGUUGUUAGAGAAGAAAGUGCGUGAGAGUAACUGUUCACGUUUCGACGGUAUCUAUCCAGAAAGCCACGGCUAACUACGUGCCAGCAGCCGCGGUAAUACGUAGGUGGCAAGCGUUAUCCGGAUUUAUUGGGCGUAAAGGGAACGCAGGCGGUCUUUUAAGUCUGAUGUGAAAGCCUUCGGCUUAACCGGAGUAGUGCAUUGGAAACUGGGAGACUUGAGUGCAGAAGAGGAGAGUGGAACUCCAUGUGUAGCGGUGAAAUGCGUAGAGAUAUGGAAGAACACCAGUGGCGAAAGCGGCUCUCUGGGCUGUAACUGACGCUGAGGUUCGAAAGCGUGGGUAGCAAACAGGAUUAGAUACCCCAGUAGUC